rnacentral:piRNA from 1 species
UUCCCCUUCCACUGGUGCUCUUACUAGGA